rnacentral:rRNA from 1 species
UUUUACAAUGAAGAGUUUGAUCCUGGCUCAGGAUGAACGCUAGCUACAGGCUUAACACAUGCAAGUCGAGGGGCAGCAUGGUCUUAGCUUGCUAAGGCCGAUGGCGACCGGCGCACGGGUGAGUAACACGUAUCCAACCUGCCGUCUACUCUUGGACAGCCUUCUGAAAGGAAGAUUAAUACAAGAUGGCAUCAUGAGUCCGCAUGUUCACAUGAUUAAAGGUAUUCCGGUAGACGAUGGGGAUGCGUUCCAUUAGAUAGUAGGCGGGGUAACGGCCCACCUAGUCUUCGAUGGAUAGGGGUUCUGAGAGGAAGGUCCCCCACAUUGGAACUGAGACACGGUCCAAACUCCUACGGGAGGCAGCAGUGAGGAAUAUUGGUCAAUGGGCGAGAGCCUGAACCAGCCAAGUAGCGUGAAGGAUGACUGCCCUAUGGGUUGUAAACUUCUUUUAUAAAGGAAUAAAGUCGGGUAUGCAUACCCGUUUGCAUGUACUUUAUGAAUAAGGAUCGGCUAACUCCGUGCCAGCAGCCGCGGUAAUACGGAGGAUCCGAGCGUUAUCCGGAUUUAUUGGGUUUAAAGGGAGCGUAGAUGGAUGUUUAAGUCAGUUGUGAAAGUUUGCGGCUCAACCGUAAAAUUGCAGUUGAUACUGGAUAUCUUGAGUGCAGUUGAGGCAGGCGGAAUUCGUGGUGUAGCGGUGAAAUGCUUAGAUAUCACGAAGAACUCCGAUUGCGAAGGCAGCCUGCUAAGCUGCAACUGACAUUGAGGCUCGAAAGUGUGGGUAUCAAACAGGAUUAGAUACCCUGGUAGUCCACACGGUAAACGAUGAAUACUCGCUGUUUGCGAUAUACAGCAAGCGGCCAAGCGAAAGCGUUAAGUAUUCCACCUGGGGAGUACGCCGGCAACGGUGAAACUCAAAGGAAUUGACGGGGGCCCGCACAAGCGGAGGAACAUGUGGUUUAAUUCGAUGAUACGCGAGGAACCUUACCCGGGCUUAAAUUGCAGAUGAAUUACGGUGAAAGCCGUAAGCCGCAAGGCAUCUGUGAAGGUGCUGCAUGGUUGUCGUCAGCUCGUGCCGUGAGGUGUCGGCUUAAGUGCCAUAACGAGCGCAACCCUUGUUGUCAGUUACUAACAGGUUCCGCUGAGGACUCUGACAAGACUGCCAUCGUAAGAUGUGAGGAAGGUGGGGAUGACGUCAAAUCAGCACGGCCCUUACGUCCGGGGCUACACACGUGUUACAAUGGGGGGUACAGAGGGCCGCUACCACGCGAGUGGAUGCCAAUCCCCAAAACCUCUCUCAGUUCGGACUGGAGUCUGCAACCCGACUCCACGAAGCUGGAUUCGCUAGUAAUCGCGCAUCAGCCACGGCGCGGUGAAUACGUUCCCGGGCCUUGUACACACCGCCCGUCAAGCCAUGGGAGCCGGGGGUACCUGAAGUGCGUAACCGCGAGGAGCGCCCUAGGGUAAAACUGGUGACUGGGGCUAAGUCGUAACAAGGUAGCCGUACCGGAAGGUGCGGCUGGAACACCUCCUUUCU